rnacentral:lncRNA from 1 species
GAAGACCUGAGCGCUUGACGGUGUCGCGGGCGGUGUGUCUCCAGGCUGCUGGGCGUUUUCUUUUUCUAACAACGCGACGGUUCAGAGAAGAAGUUUAACGCUGUCACCACAUUUUACUCUCUUAGCAUGCAUUUUGUGACCCUGCAAUAAUCAUCUGCGUUUUGGAUUAGGGGAUGUGAGACUGAAGGAAAGCGCCCUUAGAAAAAGGAUCUCUGGGCCGGGGAUUUAGCCCAGUGGGUCCGCCGCCUGCCUCACAAGUUCAAGGACCCGAGGUCGAUCCCCGGUACAAAAAGAAAGAAAGAAAGAGGGUCUUCGCUGUGGUUGUGUGGAUUCCUGGCUGUGGAGAGACACAGGAUCUAUGUUAGUGAUCUCCCGGGAGCACAGCACGAGGGAACCACUACCGCGGAAAGCGAAAGCAAAGGACGGAGUCGUGGUUUCAGCCACAGUCUCGGUGUCACUGGAGCUGUGUCAAGCAGCGAGAUUGUGACCAUGGCCUGCUCCGCAGAGCCAGCCUGGUCUGAGGCCGGCAGACUUCUGGAGGGCACCACCCACGUCGAGGGAAGCUCUCCUCCCUCAGUUUGCUGUCCCACACGCAAACUGUCUCUGGAGACACCUCACAGACACACCCGGAAGUGAGCUUUACUCGUUUCGUGGCAUUUCUCAUCCAGUAAGGUGACAACCAAGAUGAACGGUCACAGCACCUCUCAGCACCUGCUCUCCAGUUCCCUCCUGUUUGCCCUCCGAGACACUGCUUACCCCUGUGGGCGCCCCCAAAAGCUGAUUCCUGUAGACUCCUAAAG